GACGGAAAGACCCCGUGAACCUUUACUAUAGCUUCGUAUUGGCUUUGGAUAAGUAAUGUGUAGGAUAGGUGGGAGACUUCGAUCAUGUGUCGCCAGGCAUGUGUGAGUCAUUGUUGAAAUACCACCCUUUACUUAUUUGAAGUCUAACGUCUAACGACGAACAGUGCGUGGUGGGUAGUUUGACUGGGGUGGUCGCCUCCAAAAGAGUAACGGAGGCUUCUAAAGGUUUCCUCAGCACGCUUGGUAACCGUGCGUAGAGUGCAAUAGCAUAAGGAAGCUUGACUGUGAGACUGACAAGUCGAGCAGGGACG
rnacentral:rRNA from 13 species